GAACGGUGUAGGAAUUACAACAGUUUGUAUACGUGCCUCCCACUUUUCAAGGGACCAAAAGUAAUGGGACAAUUGGCUGCUCAGCUGUUCCAUGGCCAGGUGUGUGUUAUUCUCUCAUUAUCCCAUUUACCAGGAGCAGAUAAAAGGUUCAGAGUUCAUUUCAAGUGUGCUAUUUGCAUUUGGAAUCUGUUGCUGUCAACUCUCAAUAUGAGAUCAAAAUUCUUUCCCUGGUGAAGAAAACACCCAUUCACAACAAUUGGCCAGAUCAAGAACACUCUCCAGGAGGUAGGUGUAUGUGUGUCAAAGUCAACAAUCAAGAGUAGACUUCACCAGAGUGAAUACAGAGGGUUCACCACAAGAUGUAAACCAUUGGUGAGCCUCAAAAAC